AGAGUUUGAUCCUGGCUCAGAUUGAACGCUGGCGGCAUGCUUUACACAUGCAAGUCGAACGGCAGCGCGGGGGCAACCCUGGCGGCGAGUGGCGAACGGGUGAGUAAUGCAUCGGAACGUAUCCUGUAAUGGGGGAUAACCAGUCGAAAGAUUGGGUAAUACCGCAUACGCUCGAGAGAGGAAAGUGGGGGAUCGCAAGA
rnacentral:rRNA from 1 species